UACGGAGGAUGCAAGCGUUAUCCGGAAUGAUUGGGCGUAAAGCGCUCGUAGGCGGUUCAGUAAGUCGGGUGUGAAACCUCCAGGCUCAACCUGGAGACGCCACCCGAUACUGCUGUGACUAGAGUCCAGUAGGGGAGCGUGGAAUUCCUGGUGUAGCGGUGAAAUGCGCAGAUAUCAGGAGGAACACCGGUGGCGAAGGCGGGUCUCUGGGCAACAACUGACGCUGAGGAGCGAAAGCGUGGGGAGCGAACAGG
rnacentral:rRNA from 1 species